rnacentral:rRNA from 1 species
CCGGCACGGGUGAGUAACACGUAUCCAACCUGCCGUCUACUCUUGGACAGCCUUCUGAAAGGAAGAUUAAUACAAGAUGGCAUCAUGAGUCCGCAUGUUCACAUGAUUAAAGGUAUUCCGGUAGACGAUGGGGAUGCGUUCCAUUAGAUAGUAGGCGGGGUAACGGCCCACCUAGUCUUCGAUGGAUAGGGGUUCUGAGAGGAAGGUCCCCCACAUUGGAACUAAGACACGGUCCAA